GACGAACGCUGGCGGCGUGCCUAAUACAUGCAAGUUGAACGCUUCUUUCUUAUCGAACUUCGGUUCACCAAGAAAGAAGAGUAGCGAACGGGUGAGUAACACGUGGGUAACCUGCCCAUCAGCGGGGUAUAACACUUGGAAACAGGUGCUAAUACCGCAUAAUACUUUUUCUCUCAUGAGUGAAAGUUGAAAGGCGCUUUUGCGUCACUGAUGGAUGGACCCGGGGUGCAUUAGCUAGUUGGUAGGGUAACGGCCUACCAAGGCAAUGAUGCAUAGCCGACCUGAGAGGGUGAUCGGCUACACUGGGACUGAGACACGGCCCAGACUCCUACGGGAGGCAGCAGUAGGGAAUCUUCGGCAAUGGACGAAAGUCUGACCGAGCAACGCCGCGUGAGUGAAGAAGGUUUUCGGAUCGUAAAACUCUGUUGUUAGAGAAGAACAAGGAUGAGAAGAGAAUGUUCAUCCCUUGACGGUAUCUAACCAGAAAGCCACGGCUAACUACGUGCCAGCAGCCGCAGUAA
rnacentral:rRNA from 1 species